UUGAAAGGGAAACGAUUGAAGUCAGUCGUACCGACGAGAAAUCAACCUAUCGUGUGCGAACUUGUGGGCGUGCGUGAGUUUCGGCCUCGCUGUUUGCAUGUUUGUGCGCUUUGGGUGUACUUUUUCGUAUGGUAGGCCAACGUCAGUUUCGAUUAUCAUAAAAUGACCGGCGGAAUGUAGCUUCGAUUUCGGUUGAAGUGUUAUAGCCUCUGGUAGAUGUGGUGAUUGAGACUGAGGAUUGCAACGAAUACCCUUUGGGCUAUCCGUCUGGCCUCUGAAAGUUGCUCAGGUGCCGAAAGCGUGCUUACGGUCAUCUAAGAUAACGUUCAACAGGUUAGAACGUGAUUACAUUCGUUAAGGAUGUUG
rnacentral:rRNA from 1 species